rnacentral:rRNA from 1 species
CAUAGGUUAAUGAGGCGAACCGGGGGAACUGAAACAUCUAAGUACCCCGAGGAAAAGAAAUCAACCGAGAUUCCCCCAGUAGCGGCGAGCGAACGGGGAGGAGCCCAGAGCCUGAAUCAGUGUGUGUGUUAGUGGAAGCGUCUGGAAAGGCGCGCGAUACAGGGUGACAGCCCCGUACACAAAAAUGCACAUGCUGUGAGCUCGAUGAGUAGGGCGGGACACGUGGUAUCCUGUCUGAAUAUGGGGGGACCAUCCUCCAAGGCUAAAUACUCCUGACUGACCGAUAGUGAACCAGUACCGUGAGGGAAAGGCGAAAAGAACCCCGGCGAGGGGAGUGAAAAAGAACCUGAAACCGUGUACGUACAAGCAGUGGGAGCCUCUUAAUGGGGUGACUGCGUACCUUUUGUAUAAUGGGUCAGCGACUUAUAUUCUGUAGCAAGGUUAACCGAAUAGGGGAGCCGAAGGGAAACCGAGUCUUAACUGGGCGUUAAGUUGCAGGGUAUAGACCCGAAACCCGGUGAUCUAGCCAUGGGCAGGUUGAAGGUUGGGUAACACUAACUGGAGGACCGAACCGACUAAUGUUGAAAAAUUAGCGGAUGACUUGUGGCUGGGGGUGAAAGGCCAAUCAAACCGGGAGAUAGCUGGUUCUCCCCGAAAGCUAUUUAGGUAGCGCCUCGUGAAUUCAUCUCCGGGGGUAGAGCACUGUUUCGGCAAGGGGGUCAUCCCGACUUACCAACCCGAUGCAAACUGCGAAUACCGGAGAAUGUUAUCACGGGAGACACACGGCGGGUGCUAACGUCCGUCGUGAAGAGGGAAACAACCCAGACCGCCAGCUAAGGUCCCAAAGUCAUGGUUAAGUGGGAAACGAUGUGGGAAGGCCCAGACAGCCAGGAUGUUGGCUUAGAAGCAGCCAUCAUUUAAAGAAAGCGUAAUAGCUCACUGGUCGAGUCGGCCUGCGCGGAAGAUGUAACGGGGCUAAACCAUGCACCGAAGCUGCGGCAGCGACACUAUGUGUUGUUGGGUAGGGGAGCGUUCUGUAAGCCUGUGAAGGUGGCCUGUGAGGGUUGCUGGAGGUAUCAGAAGUGCGAAUGCUGACAUAAGUAACGAUAAAGCGGGUGAAAAGCCCGCUCGCCGGAAGACCAAGGGUUCCUGUCCAACGUUAAUCGGGGCAGGGUGAGUCGACCCCUAAGGCGAGGCCGAAAGGCGUAGUCGAUGGGAAACAGGUUAAUAUUCCUGUACUUGGUGUUACUGCGAAGGGGGGACGGAGAAGGCUAUGUUGGCCGGGCGACGGUUGUCCCGGUUUAAGCGUGUAGGCUGGUUUUCCAGGCAAAUCCGGAAAACCAAGGCUGAGGCGUGAUGACGAGGCACUACGGUGCUGAAGUGACAAAUGCCCUGCUUCCAGGAAAAGCCUCUAAGCAUCAGGUAACAUCAAAUCGUACCCCAAACCGACACAGGUGGUCAGGUAGAGAAUACCAAGGCGCUUGAGAGAACUCGGGUGAAGGAACUAGGCAAAAUGGUGCCGUAACUUCGGGAGAAGGCACGCUGAUAUGUAGGUGAAGCGACUUGCUCGUGGAGCUGAAAUCAGUCGAAGAUACCAGCUGGCUGCAACUGUUUAUUAAAAACACAGCACUGUGCAAACACGAAAGUGGACGUAUACGGUGUGACGCCUGCCCGGUGCCGGAAGGUUAAUUGAUGGGGUUAGCGGUAACGCGAAGCUCUUGAUCGAAGCCCCGGUAAACGGCGGCCGUAACUAUAACGGUCCUAAGGUAGCGAAAUUCCUUGUCGGGUAAGUUCCGACCUGCACGAAUGGCGUAAUGAUGGCCAGGCUGUCUCCACCCGAGACUCAGUGAAAUUGAACUCGCUGUGAAGAUGCAGUGUACCCGCGGCAAGACGGAAAGACCCCGUGAACCUUUACUAUAGCUUGACACUGAACAUUGAGCCUUGAUGUGUAGGAUAGGUGGGAGGCUUUGAAGUGUGGA